rnacentral:rRNA from 1 species
UGGGGAACCCCCCGUCACCACAAGCCGUGUUUGGACUGAUUGUUGGACUUAAUUCGACUGCAACGCGAGAAAACCUUACCUACCCUUGACAUGUACGGAAGCCACGAGAGAUCGAGGUGUGCUCGAAAGAGAACCCGUAACACAGGUUCUGCAUGGCUGUCGUCAGGCUCGUGUCGUGAGAAUGUUGGGUUAAGUCCCGCAACGAGUCGCAACCCUUGUCACUAGUUGCUACGAAAGAGCACUCUAAUGAGACUGCCGGUGACAAACCGGAGGAAGGUGGGGAUGACGUCAAGUCCUCAUGGCCCUUAUGGGUAGGGCUUCACACGUCAUACAAUGGUACAUACAGAGGGCCGCCAACCCGCGAGGGGGAGCUAAUCCCAGAAAGUGUAUCGUAGUCCGGAUUGUAGUCUGCAACUCGACUGCAUGAAGUUGGUAAUCGCAUAGUA